GUGAGUGCAUGGGGGGAGGAGGUGUGAACUAAAAAGGCACUGGUGUGUAGAAGAAAACUGUGGCCAAAUCAAGGAGAAUUCCAGAGCCAAGAGACGAAGGAUUGCAAGAUGGAAGGCCACCACCUACUUAAACACCACCCGCACGGAAACAAAGGAAAGCAAGGGGUCAUCUUAGCGGCUGCUCUGCUCCAACACUAAGGAGAGAGAGUCAGAGAUCCAGGCAGUGGUCAGGGUACCGGCGGAUCACAGGCACGCUUGAAGGUACCAGCGGUGGCCAUGCCGUAGCCUACGGAUACCUACAGGGGAAAGGCUCUGCUUGAUUUAGAGUCUCCCCAGGGUUAGCCUCUAUUUAAAAAAAAAUGGAUUGACUUUCCUUGGAGAGCAGAGCCUAUGUGUUCCCACUGGAGAAGGAGAGGCACCAUGCCACCUGAGCGCUAAGGAUCCCCUUCCGUGCCAGGGUGUCCUGCCAGGGUCCCAGCUUGGAGCUUCGCCUUCAGGAAGAGCCAGUUCAUGGGGAAGCCAGGCAGAAGGACGAUGGGAUGUGGGAAACGCCCAAAGGACCCGCACUUGAGCCGAUUAUCGUGGAAGAUGAGACCAGCCCCCCAAACAUUUACCAUCUGCUGCUUCAAUUCUGUUCUCUGUGGCCUAAUUCCAAGAAGCCUCAGGACCUGUUUUGUUCUUGGGAAGACUGGCCUUACCCUCUGUGAAAAUGUACCUGGCCAUCAGUCCCAACACUUGACUCCAGAUUGGGGUUCUGGGAGCUGGGAUCCUCUUCUUUGCAUGAUUGUUGUUUCAGACAUGGUCACUUAAGUUGGGGGGCCAGGACUAUCACUAUUAUCUUUCUAAAUUGUUCAUUAAAAUGUCAUGAAGCGCCUU